AUGUAAAACCGCGAAAAUGGUAAAAUAAAAAAAGCUUUGGCUCCAAUAUUUUCCCACUUAAAAUCAGUUACUUAUCAGUAUCAACUCACUUCACUGCGUCUCACAUUCUCACAGGCUGCAUCACACUCAUAUUAACCUCAAUUGUCAGUUUCUCAAAGCGUCUCUCACUCUAAAUCCGAUUCUGGCUCCCUCAAUUUAUACAAGAAGUAUCUAUUGAUCUAUUAAUUUAUAGUGGUUAUCUCAUCCUAUAUAUCAAGGUAUUAACAAAAAAGUAAGGAAGGGGAAGAAGAAAAAGAAGGCAACAAGUAAAACGAAGAAUGUGAUGACAUUGAUCAAAUGGGAUUUAUUUUAGCUUCUCCAUCGUUAUUCCUCGUUUGGACAUUAUUUUUUUCUUCUAUUUAUUAGCUAGACUAAUAGUAUACUCAUCAAGAUGGAUUUGGUAUUGAAAAUUAGUGGUUAUUACUUUUGAUUAUAUAUUCACUAUUUUUAUUGGUUUGGGAUUAUCUAUUCAAAUGUUUAUUAUUUA